GAUGAAGAACGUAGCGAAAUGCGAUACGUAAUGUGAAUUGCAGAAUUCAGUGAAUCAUCGAAUCUUUGAACGCAUAUUGCGCUCUCUGGUAUUCCGGAGAGCAUGCUUGUUUGAGUAUCAGUAAACACCUCAACUCCCUUUUCUUUUUUAAAAUUGGAGCUGGACUUGAGUGAUCCCAACGCUUUCUUCCAAGAAAGUGGCGGGUUGCUUGAAAUGCAGGUGCAGCUGAACUUUUCUCUGAGCUAUAAGCAUAUCUAUUUAGUCUGCCUAAAAAACAGAUUAUUACCUUUGCUGCAGCUAACAUAAAGGAGACUAGUUCUUGUGCUGACUGAUGCAGGAUUCACAGAGACAGCUUCGGCUGACUUUGUAAACUCGAUCUCAAAUCAAGUAAGACUACCCGCUGAACUUAAGCAUAUCAAUAAGCGGAGGA
rnacentral:misc_RNA from 1 species